rnacentral:lncRNA from 1 species
AAGGCCAACCCUUUAGCUAUAUCCAUACACGGGGUUCAUAUUCUGCAUGAAGAGCCUAUUAACUUUUGCAUAUUUAGGGUCCCCAGUCAGAGCUUCCAGCCUUUUUUGCAAAGUUUGGUUGGGCAAUGCUGUGACCCAUUCCAGCAUCUACCAUCCCACCUGAGAAAAGGUGGUCAUUGAGAUAUGGCAAUUGUUCUUUUAUCCAGUUGGGUGAGGCCAUUGAAAAUGUGGAUCUUGUUCUGAAGCUCUCUAAUUUCAUGUUUGAAGCACAAAGCUUGGGCCUUGGCUGAGCAAACAACCUCAAGAGGCACUAUGGCAACCUUGGCUUCCAUAAAAUUGUUUUUCCAAGAGAGUGGAAGUGGAUGCCCAAUGUCUUGUAGCUCCUUUGAGUACCAGGUGAUUCUAAAGAAUCAUUUGCUGUUUGACCCAAAGAAACGUGACUGCCAGAGGGAAGAAAGCCAAUUGAGCUGAGAAAAGCAGUAUUUAAAGACCAAGGGAUUUGGAAUUGGGCAGCCAAUUCUGUGUUUACCUUGGUAGUAACACUCCUGCAUAUGCAGUAGUGUCAGGAAGUGAGUAUUGUUACAAGCAGAACAUCUGGUGGAGGAACAUAUUAUCAAUCCUGUAAUAGAUAAAAGAACCACAAUCCUAAACCCUCAAAUUCAUUUUUUGGCUUUCCUGAGAGAACUGAGAAUUGUGGGUAACCUUGAGGAGGGAAGGAAACAAGCUUCACUGAAGCUGGGCUCAUUUUCAGCUGUCAGUGGAAAAACACAAGGCUGCACCAGUCUCCGCUGAAACUCUCAGACUCGGCCAGUAGUUGUUUUCCAGCUUCUUGUUACCUUUGAAAUCCAAACAUUUUCGAUUUCUUCCUUUCUGCUGUGCCA